UAGGGAAUCUUCCGCAAUGGACGCAAGUCUGACGGAGCAACGCCGCGUGAGUGAAGAAGGAUUUCGGUUCGUAAAACUCUGUUGUUAGAGAAGAACAGCGCAUAGAGUAACUGUUAUGCGUGUGACGGUAUCUAACCAGAAAGCCACGGCUAACUACGUGCCAGCAGCCGCGGUAAUACGUAGGUGGCAAGCGUUGUCCGGAUGUAUUGGGCGUAAAGCGAGCGCAGGCGGUAAAUUAAGUCUGAUGUGAAAGCCCCCGGGUCAACCGGGGAGGGUCAUUGGAAACUGGUUGAUUUGAGUGCAGAAGAGGAGAGUGGAAUUCCAUGUGUAGCGGUGAAAUGCGUAGAUAUAUGGAGGAACACCAGUGGCGAAGGCGACUCUCUGGUCUGUAACUGACGCUGAGGCUCGAAAGCGUGGGUAGCAAACAGG
rnacentral:rRNA from 1 species